GUUUUGUAGUUUAUUCUUAAACACUUGUUACAUGGCACUGAUUACUUUAUUACAUUUCUAGUGGCGGGACGGUGGAGUAACACGUUGGAACCUGCCCCAAAGUGAGGAAUAAGCCACCGAAAAGGUGGUCUAAUACUUCAUAAUAUCCAUCUCGUAUGGAUUAAAGCUUUAUGCGCUUUGGGAGGGGCCUGCGUAACAUUAGCUUGUUGGUGAGGUAAAAGCUCACCAAGGCUUCGAUGUUUAACUGGUUUGAGAGGAUGACCAGUCACACUGGACUGAGAUACGGCCCAGACUCCUACGGGAGGCAGCAGUAAGGAAUCUUCCACAAUGGGGCAACCCUGAUGGAGCAAUACCGCGUGCAGGAUGAAGCGUUUCGGCGUGUAAACUGCUUUUAUCACCGAAGAUUAUGACUGUAGGUGAAGAAUAAGGACCGGCUAACUACGUG
rnacentral:rRNA from 1 species